rnacentral:misc_RNA from 1 species
GCAUGUGAGCGGUGAUGGAUUUGUAUGCCGCGGUGGGCUCCCUGCUAUUGUGCAGUUGACCACCGACGCUGCAAGUCUCUUCAAUGGCACUCUGUUUGAAUGGAGAUGCGUGUGUUGCCUGUACAAUCUACCUAGUUCCUUUGGAAAUAGACAUUGUUUACCUUGCUUAUCCACUUCUCUUGUCCUAUAUGAAUGAGAAGUGUCGAUGUCCGUGCACCUUGUGUGUCCUCGAACGAUGGUAUGUCUUAGACCUCUCGUCUCGAGUGGCUCCAGUGUUCACGUGAGUGCUCUUGGAUGCAGUGGAUAAGAAUGUACCAUGGGUCUUUGGACUCUUGGCACAUGAUCGGUUGGCUUUCUUAGUCGCCCUUCGACGGAUGACGGCCUUCCCAUCGUUGCCCCCCUUUCCCUUGUGGUAAUGGGUCGGCAUGUUGGGCUUGGCGUCGUAGAGGACGUGCUACC